rnacentral:snoRNA from 1 species
CCCAGCCGUAGGCAGCUGCCUAGGUUGCCUUGUACCUAGGCACGUGUUACACUGCUGGGAGAACAGCAGCAGAUAGCUGGUUGGCAUUCUGGGCCUGGUUCAUGCCAACUCU